AAGCAGUGAGGUGACUCACAUUACCUGCUCCGGAGAGAAGAAACAGCUUGCAUUUGAAAACCUUCAAAAAUUCUUCUUAUUUCCAAACCAGGGUCAGUGCUCAAAUUACAUGCCUAUUAGGUUGAGAGGAGGAGAGGAAAUCUGUUCUGGGAGGUUGGAGGUGUAUCAUAAUGCUGAGUGGGGGUCUAUAUGUGCUGAUCUGUGGGACAUCAGGGAUGCUCAGGUGAUCUGCAGGCAGCUGGGUUGUGGGCCGGCGCUGAGUGCUAAUAGAAGAGCUGUUGAUGGUUCUGGUGGAGGAACUA